CUCAAAGGGAGAUCAGACAACGGGCCACAUGGAGCUCAAAGCACGACAUAACAAAGACCUGCUCUUUUGUCUCAGCGGGUUUCUACACUUUCCAGACGGUCACAUGCUUUUGCUGCUGUGAAAAGUGGGGAACUCUAGGCCUCCUACAGCCAGAAAAGCCGAAAGGUGUCCCCGCCAACAGCAAGCUGGCGACCGGCGCACUGUACAAACACAGUUGUCCUGUCGCAGGGGCCCAGCGCUAAGAGGGGAACAGAAGGGACAACCCGGGACAGGUGUGAAGAAUAAUUAGCGGGUACUGAGGAGAUCCAGGCAGACCAGAUACUCAUGGGAGCCUGGUCACUUUCUCCUCCACCACCUCCACCACCACCAAUACCACUAUUCCACCUCCAUCUACACCACCACCACCAAAUGUCCCUGGCAAAGCCGUUGACACUGGCCUGCACUGCAUUGGGAAUGAGAGUAACUCACGUGCAUGUGUGUGUGUGUGUGUGUGUGUGUGUGUGUGUGUGUGUGUGUGUGUG
ensembl:lncRNA